rnacentral:rRNA from 1 species
AGACCCGAAACCCGGUGAUCUAGCCAUGGGCAGGUUGAAGGUUGGGUAACACUAACUGGAGGACCGAACCGACUAAUGUUGAAAAAUUAGCGGAUGACCUGUGGCUGGGGGUGAAAGGCCAAUCAAACCGGGAGAUAGCUGGUUCUCCCCGAAAGCUAUUUAGGUAGCGCCUCGUGAAUUCAUCUCCGGGGGUAGAGCACUGUUUCGGCUAGGGGGCCAUCCCGGCUUACCAACCCGAUGCAAACUGCGAAUACCGGAGAAUGUUAUCACGGGAGACACACGGCGGGUGCUAACGUCCGUCGUGAAGAGGGAAACAACCCAGACCGCCAGCUAAGGUCCCAAAGUCAUGGUUAAGUGGGAAACGAUGUGGGAAGGCCCAGACAGCCAGGAUGUUGGCUUAGAAGCAGCCAUCAUUUAAAGAAAGCGUAAUAGCUCACUGGUCGAGUCGGCCUGCGCGGAAGAUGUAACGGGGCUAAACCAUGCACCGAAGCUGCGGCAGCGAACGUAUCACCCAAGACAACUUUACGGAGUUGGCGAUUGACGGAGCGAAGCGACGUCAAAGCGUUCAUUAAAGUCGAGUUGGCUUAGGGAUACGUUCGUUGGGUAGGGGAGCGUUCUGUAAGCCUGUGAAGGUGUGUCGUGAGGCAUGCUGGAGGUAUCAGAAGUGCGAAUGCUGACAUAAGUAACGAUAAAGCGGGUGAAAAGCCCGCUCGCCGGAAGACCAAGGGUUCCUGUCCAACGUUAAUCGGGGCAGGGUGAGUCGACCCCUAAGGCGAGGCCGAAAGGCGUAGUCGAUGGGAAACGGGUUAAUAUUCCCGUACUUGGUGUUACUGCGAAGGGGGGACGGAGAAGGCUAUGUUGGCCGGGCGACGGUUGUCCCGGUUUAAGCGUGUAGGUGUGUGUUCCAGGUAAAUCCGGUUCACUUUAACACUGAGGCGUGAUGACGAGGCACUACGGUGCUGAAGCAACAAAUGCCCUGCUUCCAGGAAAAGCCUCUAA